rnacentral:tRNA from 1 species
GCCUGCGUGGCUCAGUCAGUUGAGCGUCCGACUUUAGCUCAGGUCAUGAUCUCACGGUUCGUGAGUUCGAGCCUCGCAUCAGGCU